rnacentral:rRNA from 1 species
AGUCGAGCGGAAACGAGUUAACUGAACCUUCGGGGGACGUUAACGGCGUCGAGCGGCGGACGGGUGAGUAAUGCCUGGGAAAUUGCCCUGAUGUGGGGGAUAACCAUUGGAAACGAUGGCUAAUACCGCAUAAUAGCUUCGGCUCAAAGAGGGGGACCUUCGGGCCUCUCGCGUCAGGAUAUGCCCAGGUGGGAUUAGCUAGUUGGUGAGGUAAUGGCUCACCAAGGCGACGAUCCCUAGCUGGUCUGAGAGGAUGAUCAGCCACACUGGAACUGAGACACGGUCCAGACUCCUACGGGAGGCAGCAGUGGGGAAUAUUGCACAAUGGGCGCAAGCCUGAUGCAGCCAUGCCGCGUGUAUGAAGAAGGCCUUCGGGUUGUAAAGUACUUUCAGCAGUGAGGAAGGUGGUGUCGUUAAUAGCGGCAUCAUUUGACGUUAGCUGCAGAAGAAGCACCGGCUAACUCCGUGCCAGCAGCCGCGGUAAUACGGAGGGUGCGAGCGUUAAUCGGAAUUACUGGGCGUAAAGCGCAUGCAGGUGGUUUGUUAAGUCAGAUGUGAAAGCCCGGGGCUCAACCUCGGAAUUGCAUUUGAAACUGGCAGACUAGAGUACUGUAGAGGGGGGUAGAAUUUCAGGUGUAGCGGUGAAAUGCGUAGAGAUCUGAAGGAAUACCGGUGGCGAAGGCGGCCCCCUGGACAGAUACUGACACUCAGAUGCGAAAGCGUGGGGAGCAAACAGGAUUAGAUACCCUGGUAGUCCACGCCGUAAACGAUGUCUACUUGGAGGUUGUGGCCUUGAGCCGUGGCUUUCGGAGCUAACGCGUUAAGUAGACCGCCUGGGGAGUACGGUCGCAAGAUUAAAACUCAAAUGAAUUGACGGGGGCCCGCACAAGCGGUGGAGCAUGUGGUUUAAUUCGAUGCAACGCGAAGAACCUUACCUACUCUUGACAUCCUCAGAA